rnacentral:rRNA from 1 species
AUUGAACGCUGGCGGAAUGCUUUACACAUGCAAGUCGAACGGCAGCACGGGUGCUUGCACCUGGUGGCGAGUGGCGAACGGGUGAGUAAUACAUCGGAACGUACCCAGUUAUGGGGGAUAACGAAUCGAAAGAUUCGCUAAUACCGCAUACGCCCUGAGGGGGAAAGCGGGGGACCGUAAGGCCUCGCGUAAUUGGAGCGGCCGAUGUCUGAUUAGCCAGUUGGUGGGGUCAAGGCUCACCAAGGCGACGAUCAGUAGCAGGUCUGAGAGGAUGAUCUGCCACACUGGAACUGGGACACGGUCCAGACUCCUACGGGAGGCAGCAGUGGGGAAUUUUGGACAAUGGGGGAAACCCUGAUCCAGCCAUUCCGCGUGAGUGAAGAAGGCCUUCGGGUUGUAAAGCUCUUUCGGCAGGGAAGAAACGCUCUGGCUUAAUACGCCGGGGUAAUGACGGUACCUGAAGAAGAAGCACCGGCUAACUACGUGCCAGCCGCCGCCGUAA